rnacentral:rRNA from 1 species
UACGGAGGAUGCGAGCGUUAUCCGGAUUUAUUGGGUUUAAAGGGUGCGUAGGCGGAUCGUUAAGUCAGUGGUCAAAUUGAGGGGCUCAACCCCUUCCCGCCAUUGAAACUGGCGAUCUUGAGUGGAAGAGAAGUAUGCGGAAUGCGUGGUGUAGCGGUGAAAUGCAUAGAUAUCACGCAGAACCCCGAUUGCGAAGGCAGCAUACCGGCUUCCUACUGACGCUGAAGCACGAAAGCGUGGGGAUCGAACAGG